rnacentral:rRNA from 1 species
AUGGGAACGCGAAGAACCUUACCUACUCUUGACAUCCAGAGAACUUUCCAGAGAUGGAUUGGUGCCUUCGGGAACUCUGAGACAGGUGCUGCAUGGCUGUCGUCAGCUCGUGUUGUGAAAUGUUGGGUUAAGUCCCGCAACGAGCGCAACCCGUUAUCCUUUGUUGCCAGCGGUUAGGCCGGGAACUCAAAGGAGACUGCCAGUGAUAAACUGGAGGAAGGUGGGGAUGACGUCAAGUCAUCAUGGCCCUUACGAGUAGGGCUACACACGUGCUACAAUGGCGCAUACAAAGAGAAGCGACCUCGCGAGAGCAAGCGGACCUCAUAAAGUGCGUCGUAGUCCGGAUUGGAGUCUGCAACUCGACUCCAUGAAGUCGGAAUCGCUAGUAAUCGUAGAUCGAGAAUGCUACGGUGAAUACGUUCCCGGGUCUUGUACACACCG